GACGAACGCUGGCGGCGUGCUUAACACAUGCAAGUCGAGCGGUAAGGCCCUUUCGGGGGUACGACGAGCGGCGAACGGGUGAGUAACACGUGGGUGACCUGCCCUCAGCUCUGGGAGUAAGCCCGGGAAACUGGGUCUAAUACCGGAUAUGACUUCAUGACGCAUGUUGUGGAGUGGAAAGCCUUGUGCGGCUGAGGAUGGGCCCGCGGCCUAUCAGCUUGUUGGUGGGGUGAGGCCUACCAAGGCGACGACGGGUAGCCGGCCUGAGAGGGCGACCGGCCACACUGGGACUGAGAUACGGCCAGACUCCUACGGGAGGCAGCAGUGGGGAAUCUUGCGCAAUGGGCGAAAGCCUGACGCAGCGACG
rnacentral:rRNA from 1 species